AAGACUAUACUUUCAGGGAUCAUUUCUAUAGUUCAUUAAUUCUAAUAAAUCCUCUGAGGGAUACUAGUAGAUAUAUGCCUUAGAGAG
rnacentral:snoRNA from 1 species